rnacentral:rRNA from 1 species
CUCUCGGCAACGGAUAUCUCGGCUCUCGCAUCGAUGAAGAACGUAGCGAAAUGCGAUACUUGGUGUGAAUUGCAGAAUCCCGUGAACCAUCGAGUCUUUGAACGCAAGUUGCGCCCGAAGCCGUUCGGCUGAGGGCACGCCUGCCUGGGUGUCACGCAACGUC